GGGAUAUUGGGCAAUGGGCGCCAACCUGACCCAGCAACGCCGCGGGAAGGAAGAAGGCGGUCGGGUUGUAAACUUCUUUUCUCAGGGACGAAGAAAGUGACGGUACCUGAGGAAUAAGCCACGGCUAACUACGUGCCAGCAGCCGCGGUAAUACGUAGGUGGCAAGCGUUAUCCGGAUUUAUUGGGUGUAAAGGGCGUGUAGGCGGGAAUGCAAGUCAGAUGUGAAAACUCAGGGCUCAACCCUGAGCCUGCAUUUGAAACUGUAUUUCUUGAGUGCUGGAGAGGCAAUCGGAAUUCCGUGUGUAGCGGUGAAAUGCGUAGAUAUACGGAGGAACACCAGUGGCGAAGGCGGAUUGCUGGACAGUAACUGACGCUGAGGCGCGAAAGCGUGGGGAGCAAAC
rnacentral:rRNA from 1 species